UACCAGCACCCCGAGUGGUCGGGACGAUUAUUGGGCCUAAAGCAUCCGUAGCCGGUUUUACAAGUCCUCCGUUAAAUCCAGCUGCUUAACAGAUGGGCUGCGGAGGAUACUAUAAGACUAGGAGGCAGGAGAGGCAAGCGGUACUCAGUGGGUAGGGGUAAAAUCCGUUGAUCCAUUGAAGAACACCAGUGGCGAAGGCGGCCUGCCAGAAUGCGCUCGACGGUGAGGGAUGAAAGCUGGGGGAGCAAACCGG
rnacentral:rRNA from 1 species